rnacentral:rRNA from 1 species
GCGGACGGGUUAGUAACGCGUGGGAACGUGCCCUUCUCUGCGGAAUAGCCACUGGAAACGGUGAGUAAUACCGCAUACGCCCUUCGGGGGAAAGAUUUAUCGGAGAAGGAUCGGCCCGCGUUAGAUUAGAUAGUUGGUGGGGUAACGGCCUACCAAGUCUACGAUCUAUAGCUGGUUUUAGAGGAUGAUCAGCAACACUGGGACUGAGACACGGCCCAGACUCCUACGGGAGGCAGCAGUGGGGAAUCUUAGACAAUGGGCGCAAGCCUGAUCUAGCCAUGCCGCGUGUGUGAUGAAGGUCUUAGGAUCGUAAAGCACUUUCGCCAGGGAUGAUAAUGACAGUACCUGGUAAAGAAACCCCGGCUAACUCCGUGCCAGCAGCCGCGGUAAUACGGAGGGGGUUAGCGUUGUUCGGAAUUACUGGGCGUAAAGCGCGCGUAGGCGGAUUGGAAAGUUGGGGGUGAAAUCCCGGGGCUCAACCCCGGAACUGCCUCCAAAACUAUCAGUCUAGAGUUCGAGAGAGGUGAGUGGAAUUCCAAGUGUAGAGGUGAAAUUCGUAGAUAUUUGGAGGAACACCAGUGGCGAAGGCGGCUCACUGGCU